UGGGGCGUCGCCAAGUGGUAAGGCAGCGGCUUUUGAUGCCGCCAUUCGUAGGUUCGAAUCCUGCCGCCCCAGCCA
rnacentral:tRNA from 3 species